rnacentral:rRNA from 1 species
UUUUUUAAGUAUUUAAUUUAAAAUAUAACCUGCUCAAUGUAAAUUAUAAAUAGCUGCAAAAUAUUUUGUACUAAGGUAGCAUAAUCAUUAGCUUUUUAAUUAAAAGAUAGAAUGAAUGGUAUAACGAAAUAUAUUCUUUUUAUAAAAUUUUAAUUAAUUUAAAAUAAAAGUAAAAAUUCUUUUAAAAAUAAAAAAGACAAUAAGACCCUAAUAAACUUAUUUAUUUAGCUAGGGUGGCAAAUAAAACACAUCUUAAUACUUUACAUUAACAAUUCUAAUAAAAUUAAUUUAGAAAAAGUUACUAUAGGGAUAACAGCACAAUUUUAAUUAAAAGAUCUUAUUUAAAUUAAAUUUUAUGACCUCGAUGUUGAAUUAAUUUUUUAUAUAAAAGCAAAAUUUUAUACAAAUGGUCUGUUCGACCAACAAAAAAUU